rnacentral:rRNA from 1 species
UACGUAGGUGGCAAGCGUUAUCCGGAUUUACUGGGUGUAAAGGGCGUGUAGGCGGGGACGCAAGUCAGAUGUGAAAACCACGGGCUCAACCUGUGGCCUGCAUUUGAAACUGUGUUUCUUGAGUACUGGAGAGGCAGACGGAAUUCCUAGUGUAGCGGUGAAAUGCGUAGAUAUUAGGAGGAACACCGGCGGCGAAGGCGGCCUGCUGGACCGUGACUGACGUUGAGGCUCGAGAGCGUGGGGAGCAAACAGG